rnacentral:rRNA from 1 species
AAACCAACCGGGAUUGCCUUAGUAACGGCGAGUGAAGCGGCAAAAGCUCAAAUUUGAAAUCUGGUACCUUCGGUGCCCGAGUUGUAAUUUGGAGAGGGCAACUUUGGGGCCGUUCCUUGUCUAUGUUCCUUGGAACAGGACGUCAUAGAGGGUGAGAAUCCCGUGUGGCGAGGAGUGCGGUUCUUUGUAAAGUGCCUUCGAAGAGUCGAGUUGUUUGGGAAUGCAGCUCUAAGUGGGUGGUAAAUUCCAUCUAAAGCUAAAUAUUGGCGAGAGACCGAUAGCGAACAAGUACAGUGAUGGAAAGAUGAAAAGAACUUUGAAAAGAGAGUGAAAAAGUACGUGAAAUUGUUGAAAGGGAAGGGCAUUUGAUCAGACAUGGUGUUUUGUGCCCUCUGCUCCUUGUGGGUAGGGAAUCUCGCAUUUCACUGGGCCAGCAUCAGUUUUGGUGGCAGGAUAAAUCCAUAGGAAUGUAGCUUGCCUCGGUAAGUAUUAUAGCCUGUGGGAAUACUGUC